rnacentral:rRNA from 1 species
CAGUAGCCGCGGGAAUACGAAGGGUGCAAGCGUUAAUCGGAAUUACUGGGCGUAAAGCGCGCGUAGGCGGUUACUCAAGUCAGAGGUGAAAGCCCGGGGCUCAACCCCGGAACUGCCUUUGAAACUAGGUGACUAGAAUCUUGGAGAGGUCAGUGGAAUUCCGAGUGUAGAGGUGAAAUUCGUAGAUAUUCGGAAGAACACCAGUGGCGAAGGCGACUGACUGGACAAGUAUUGACGCUGAGGUGCGAAAGCGUGGGGAGCAAACAGGAUUAGAUACCCCAGUAGUUCCUGUCUCUUAUAC